CGCACAACUCUGUCGCCAAAAGAGGAGCUUUUGCGCCUGCGCAAGCGGCGGCGCCAGCGCUCUAAGCCCUGGAGUGCUCUCUGCGCCUGCGCCAUUUUUCCAGCGCAGGGAAGCAUAUGGAUUGAGCAUCCCAUAUCCCAUGGUGCUAUGGAAAUAAUAAUAAUUUAUAAUAUAUUAUUGUAAGUAUUAUUAAUAUAUUUUUAUGUUAUAAGGCAACACUAGACUCUCUUGUAAAGUACAUGAAGGAAUAUAAAUUGAGCAUCCCAGCAACUCCAUGUACAUGGUGCUAUGGAAAUAAUAAUAAUAAUAAUAAUUUAUAAUAAAUUAUUAUAGGUAUUAUUAAUAUAGUUUGUUAUGUUAUAAGGCAGCACUAACCUCUUUUUUCAGCACAAGAAAUAAUAUAAAUUGAGUAUCCCAGCAACUCCAUGUACAUGGUGCUAUGGAAAUAAUAAUAAUAAUAAUAAUAAUUUAUAAUAUACUAUUAUAGGUAUUAUUAAUAUAGUUUGUUAUGUUAUAAGGCAACACUAGCCUCUUUUUUAAGUACAGGAAGGAAUAUAAAUUGAUCAUCCCAGCAACGCUAUGUACAUGGUGCUAUGGAAAUAAUAAUAAUAAUUUAUAAUAUACUAUUAUAGGUAUUAUUAAUAUAUUUUGUUAUGUUAUAAGCCAACACUAGCCUCUUUUUUCAGCGCAGGAAAUAAUAUAGAUUGAACAUCCCAGCAACUACAUGUACAUGGUGCUAUGAAGAUAAUAAUAAUAAUAAUAAUGUAUAAUAUAUUAUUAUAGGUACAGUAGAGUCUCACUUAUCCAACAUAAACAGGCCGGCAGAACGUUGGAUAAGCGAAUAUGUUGGGUAAUAAGGAGGCAUUAAGGAAACGCCUAUUACACAUUAAAUUAAGUUAUGAUUUUACAAAUUAAGCACCAAAACACCAUGUUUAACAACAAAUUUGACAGAAAAAGUAGUUCAAUAUGCAGUAAUGCUAUGUAGUAAUUACUGUAUUUACGAAUUUAACACCAAAAUAUCACGAUAUAUUGAAUACAUUGACCACAAAAAUGCGUUGGAUAAUCCAGAACGUUGGAUAAGUGAGACUCUACUGUAUUAUUAAUAUAUUUUGUUACGUUAGAAGGCAACACUAGUCUCUUUUUUCAGCGCAGGAAAUAAUAUAAAUUGAGUAUCGCAGCAACUCCAUGUACAUGGUGCUAUGGGGAAAAAAAUCAUUUAUAAUACAGUAGAGUCUCACUAAUCCAAGCCUCGCUUAUCCAAGCUUCUGGAUUAUCCAAGCCAUUUUUGUAGUCAAUGUUUUCAAUAUAUCGUGAUAUUUUGGUGCUAAAUUCGUAAAUACAGUAAUUACAACAUAACAUUACUGCGUAUUGAACUACGUUUUCUGUCAAAUUUGUUGCACAACAUGAUGUUUUGGUGCUUAUUUUGUAAAAUCAUAACUUAUUUUGAUGUUUAAUAGGCUUUUCCUUAAUCUCUCCUUAUUAUCCAAGAUAUUCGCUUAUCCAAGCUUCUGCCGGCCCGUUUAGCUUGGAUAAGUGAGACUCUACUGUAUAUGUAUUAUUAAUACAUUUUGUUAUGUUAUAAGGCAACACUAGCCUCUUCUUUCAGCACAGGAAACAAUAUAAAUUGAGCAUUCCAGCAAUUACAUGUACACAGUGCUAUGGAAAUCAUAAUCAUAAUAAUAAUACUAUAAUACUUUUUGUUAUGUUGUAAGGCGUUUUAGUGCAGGAAAGGAUAUAGAUUGAACAUCCCAGCAACUACAUGUACAUGGUGCUAUGGAAAUAAUAAAAAUAAUAUAACUAUAAUAUUAAUUAAUGCAUUUUGUUAUGUUGUAAGGCUUUUCAGUGCAGGAAAGGAUAUAAAAUGAACAUCCCAGCAACUUCAUGUACACAGUGCUAUGGAAAUAAUAAUAAUAAUAACUGGGAACUCCCUGUGGUGCAACAGGUUAAACUGCUGAGCUGCUGAACAUGCUGACCGAAAGUUCGGUAGUCCGAAUCUGGGGAGUGGGGUGAGCUCCCAUUGUUAGCCCCAGCUUCUGCCAACCAAGCAGUCCGAGAACAUGCAAAUGUGAGUAAAUCCAUAGGUACUGCUCUGGCAGUCAUGCUAGCCACAUGACAUGCGGAUAACGCCCCAACCCCCAGAGUCAGACAUGACUAGAUUUAAUGUCAGGCAGAAACUUUUACCUUUACUAUAAUAAUUAUUAUUAAAUACAUUUUGUUAUGUUGUAAGGCAACAUUAGCCCUUUUUUAAAUGCAGGAAAGGAUAUGGAUUGAGCACCCCAGCAAUUACAUGUACAUGGUGCUAUGGAAAUUAUAAUAAUAAUUUAUAAUCUAUUAUUAUAAGUAUUAGUAAUUAAUACAUUUUAUGUUAUAAGGCAACAUGAGCCUCUUUUUUCAGUGCAAGUAAAAAUACACACUGCACUUCCCUAAUCCAAAAUGUUCAGGACCAGAAGUGUUUGGUUUUUCCAGAUUUUUAGGAUACGUCUGCACUGUAGAAUUAAUGCAUUUGGCACCAAUUUUAACUGUCAUUGCUCAAAGCUAUGGAAUCCUGGGAGUUGUAGUUUUACAAGGUCUUCAUAGUCUUCUCUGCCAAAGAGUGCUGAUGCCUCACCAAACUACUGCUCCCAGGUAUUCUUUGCAUUAAUCCAGGCCAGUUAAAAGUGGGAAUAAUAAUGUUUUUAUUGAGUGUCAUGUUUAAAUUUAUUGUUGUUUCUAAUUUGGAAUUGUUAUUAUAAUGAGUAUGUUAUUGUCAUUUUAUACUUUUGAUAUUAAGUGAAGUAGCUGUGGCAUUGAAUGUUUGCUGUUUAUAUGUAUGUUAACUGCCCUGAGGGAAGAGAGAGCGGUCUAGAAAUAAAGUUUUAUAUUAUUAUUAUUAUUAUUAUUAUUAUUAUUAUUAUUAUUAUUACUCAAUCAACAUAUUGUGCAGCUUAUAAAUGCUCUAACAGUACCUACCUUUGAACAGCACCAGUACUCCACUUCUGUAGUGAUUUAAACCUCUCUGGAGGUUUUUAAACAGAAGCUGGAUGGCCAUCCAAGAGUGCUUUGACUGGCUGAAUGGGGUCUCUUUCCGUGGAAUUUCUUUCUCUGCAGGUUUUUGAACUGAGGUUGGAUGGCUGUCUGUUGGGAGUACUUUGACAGUGCCUUCCUGUCUAGGUGAACGAGGUUAGACUAGAUGCCCUGUGAGGGUCCCUUCUAAUUCUGUGCUUUUCCUCCCACCGCAUGAAAAGAAAGCUUUGUUUCAGACAUGGGCAAACUUGUGCCCUUGAGGUGUUUUGGACUUCAACUCGGUAGGCUGUUAGGAAUUGUGGGUGUUGAAAUCCAAAACACCUCGAGGGCACAAGUUUGCCCAUGUCUGAUAGAUGCAUCUAAGUGACCAACUAAACACUGCUGAAUCCACUAGAAGGAAAUGUUGCAAAUCACGAGGUUCACCACUAGAGGACAUCUUUGAUCUAUAAGUUGUGUGCCUUCAAGUCUUUUCCAACUUCUGGUGACCUCAAAGGUGAUUUUAUUACAUGUGUUGCCGAAUCACUGCGUUGUUGUAAGUUUUCCAGGCUGUAUGGCCAUGUUUCAGAAGCAUUUUCUCCUGACAUUUCACCCACAUCUGAGGAUGCCUGCCAUAGAUGUGGGCGAAACAUCAGGAGAGAAUGCUUCUGGAACAUGGUCAUACAGCCCAGAUUUUAUUACAUGGUCAUACAACACAGAUUUUAUUACAGUGUUUUCUUGUACAGGAGCCCCCAAUGGCGCAGGAUAUUAAAGCACUGAGCUGCUGAACUUGCUGACCAAAAGGUCACAGGUUCGACUCAGGGGAGUGGAGUGAACACCCGCUGUUAGCUCCAACUUCUGUCAACCUAGCAGUUUGAAAACAUGCAAAUGUGGGUAGAUCAAUAGGUACCGCUCUGGCGGGAAGGUAAUGGCGCUCCAUACAGUCGUACCAGCCACAUGACCUUGGAGGUGUCUACAGACAACACCGGCUCUUCAGUUUAGAAAUGGAGAUGAGCACCAACCCCCAGAUUCAGACAUGACUGGACUUCAUGUCAGGAGAAACCUUUACCUUUUACCUUUCUUGUUAAGGUUUAUUCCGAGGAGGUUUGCCAUCGCUUUCCUCUGGGGCUAAGAGAGUGUGACUCUCCAGGUGGGUUUCCAUGUCCCAAGCAAGUACAGUAGAGUCUCACUUAUCCAACACUCACUUAUCCAACGUUCUGGAUUAUCCAAUGCAUUUUUGUAGUCAAUGUUUUCAAUACAUCGUGAUAUUUUGGUACUAAAUUUGUAAAUACAGUAAUUACUACAUAGCAUUACUGCGUAUUGAACUAGUUUUUCUGUUAAAUUUGUUGUAUAACAUGAUGUUUUGGUGCUUAAUUUGUAAAAUCAUAACCUAAUUUGAUGUUUAAUAGGCUUUCCCUUAAUCCCUCCUUAUUAUCCAACAUAUUCACUUAUCCAACAUUUUGCCAGCCCGUUUAUGUUGGAUAAGUGAGACUCUACUGUAUUUGAAUUUUUAAAAACUGUUAAAUGAUUUCAUAUUGUUUUAGUUUGAACUACUUUUUUAUAUUUGUUGUUGAAUUGGCUUCGUUUGUAUGCAGCCCCAAAAUGCUAGAAUGUACAACUAGGUAUAAAUAUUUUAAUAGUAUUUUUAAAUAUUUUAAUAAAUAAGAAAAUGCUUCUGUUAGGAAUGCUGGAAGGAGAGUGGUCAGAAGGAAAACUCUUCAUUUCUGCCCAGAAAGGAAAGAAAAUUGUUGGGAAGAGAUGAUGGGUGAAUCUGCAUGGUAGAAUUAAUGCAGUUUGAUAUUGGGUUGUUGUAUGUUUUCCAGGCUGUAUGGCCAUGUUCCAGAAGUAUUCUCUCCUGAUGUUUCGUCCACAUCUAUGGCAGGCAUCCUGUGAGGUUGUGAGGAUGUCUGCCAUAGAUGUGGGUGAAACGUCAGGAGAGAAUACUUCUGGAACAUGGCCAUACAGCCCGGAAAACAUACAACAACCCUGUGAUCCCGGCCAUGAAAGCCUUCAACAACACUGUUUGAUACUGCUUUAAAUGUUAAGGCUCAUUGCUAUAAAAGCAUGAAGUUUGUAAUUUUACAAGGUGUUUAGCCUUCUCUGCCAAAGAGUUUUGGUGCCCCUCUGAACUGCAAAUCUCAGGAAUCCGUGGUAUUGAGCAAUGGCAGAUAAAGUAGUGUUAAACUGCAUUAAUUCUACAGUGUAGAUGCACCCUGUUUUUGCUUGUGCAUGUAGGUGCAUAUGUGCAUGAAGUCCCCAAUGCAGCACGUACCAGCAACCCUCAAGGUCAAAAAAGUUACGCACCUCUUGCCCUGAACUCCCAGAAUAAAAGUUCAGGCCUAUCAAUCUCCAACAGAACAAACAAUACAAAUUCCUUACAGGUUGGCAAAUAAAUCUUAAUGCAGUUGUCAAAGCGAGUUCAAAAUACAACUGUGAGCCUUUUAUGUCAAUUCUGACUUAUGGAAGCCCUAAUUGCAGGGGUUUCUUGGCAAAAUUUAUUCUAAGCCUUUAUAGGGAGCUUAGAGAAUGUAAGUUUCGUGGCCAUGCAGGGAUUCGAACCUUGGUCUCCAAGGAUGCAGCCACAUACUAGAAUUAAUGUAAAGUAAUUUCAUAUCACAGUUAAAACAGAUAAAUACAGUAGAGUCUCACUUAUCCAACGUUCUGGAUUAUCCAAUGCAGUCUGCCUUUUAGUACUCAAUGUUUUUGUAGUCAAUGUUUUCAAUGCAUUGCAAUAUUUUGGUGCUAAAUUCGUAAAUACAGUAAUUGCUACAUAAUGUUACCGUGCAUUGAACUGCUUUUUCUGUCGAUUUGUUGUAAAACAUGAUGUUUUGGUGCUUAGUCUGUAUAAUCAUAUAUCGUAAUUUGAUGUUUAAUAGGCUUUUCCUUAUUCCUUCCUUAUUAUCCAACAUUUUCGCUUAUCCAACGUUCUGCCGGCCCAUUUAUGUUGGAUAAGCAAGACUCUACUGUACACUUAAAGCAUAUUGUAACAUGGUGAUUGGGCCUGGGCUGUGGCGCAGGCGGGAGAGCAAGCCAGCUGCAAUUAACUGCAAUGAAUCACUCUGACCAGGAGGUCAUGAGUUCGCGGCCGCUCGGAGCCUAUGUUUGUCUGUCUUUGUUCUAUGUUAAAAGGCAUUGAAUGUUUGCCUAUAUGUGUAAUGUGAUCCGCCCUGAGUCCCCUUCGGGGUGAGAAGGGCGGAAUAUAAAUGCUGUAAAUAAACAAACAAACAAACAAACAAAAUCAGAAGCCUUGUGAUGCAUCUGCACUAUAGAAUUAAUGCAGUUUGAACCACUUUAAUUGGCAUGGCACAAUGCUAUGGAAUCCUGGGAUUUGUAAUUCGCUGAGGUACCAGUGCUUUUGGGCAAAGAAUACUAAAGACCUUAUAAUAUUUCAGCUGCUCUGAUUCCACAACAUUAAGUCAUGUUAGGCCUUAGACCAGGCAUGGUAAACUUCAGCCCUCCAGGUGUUUUGGACUUCAACUCCCACCAUUCCUAACAGCCGGUAGGCUGUUAGGAAUGGUGGGAGUUGAAGUCCAAAACACCUGGAGGGCUGAAGUUUGCCCAUGCCUACCUUAAACUGUUGCUGGAUCUUGUGGAAGCCAGUCAUCUAGAAAAGAGAUUCCACCUAAACCUUAGAAAGAACUUCCUGGUCUCAGAGCUGUUUGGCAGUGGAAUAUGCUGCUUGGGAGUCUGGUAGAGUCUCCUUCUCUGAAAGUUUUUAAGCAGAGGUUAGAUGACCACUGGUCAAGAGUGCUUGAUUGUGUCUUCCUCCAUGGCAAAGUGUUAGACUGGAUGACCUUGGGAUUUCUUCCAAGUCUAUGAUUAUUUGUUUCUACUGGAGCUUUUUCCUGGAUCCAGUGAGGCACUGGGGAUUCUUCACCAGGAAGGUUCACAAGUGAUAUGACUUACAAACUCUGCCCCAUGCCGUGAACCUCUUUCGCCCAUUCCCCUCCCUCGGUUCUAGCUUUUCCAUAUGUUCAUGAUGUUAUUGUGGCAGCAGAUGUUGUGUGCCUUCAAGUUGACUUAUGGAGACGCUUUCUGGGGCUGAGAAUGCCCUCCAAAGUCACCCAGAAUGGCCAGAUGGAGACAGAUCAAGAAUAGGUCUCUUCAGCCACCUAAGAACCCACCCUCAAGACCCCACAACUGGAAGACCAUCAUCCUCAAACUACGAGGGAUCACCUAAGAAAGUAAGUAAGUAAAGUCCAACACUCAAACCACUCUAACAUUUGUCAUACUUUCCAGUAUUUAGAAUAACAGAAGCCUAGAGUUGGAAGAGAUCAUAAAGGCCGUUUAGUCCAACCCUCUUCUGCCAGGCAGGAACACCGAAUCAAAACACUCCAAGCAGAUGGCCAUCCAGCCUCUGCUUAAAAACUUUCAGAGAAGGAAACUCCACUAGACUCCAUAAAACAUCCUAUUCCGCCACUGAACAGCUCUUACCAUCUAGAAGUUCUUAUUAAUGUUUAGGUGGAUUCUCUUUUCUUGUCAUUGGAAUCCAUUGCUCCAUUGUGUUUUAGUCUCCAGAGCAGCAGAAAACAAGUGUGGCCCUUCCUCAAUGGGACACCCUUUCAGAUAUUUAAACAUGGCUAUCAGGGCUCCUCUCAGCCUUCUUUUCUCCAAGGUAAACAUAUUCAGCUCCCUUCAUGGAGAAGAAUUACAGGCAAAAAAUGAGACACGUGUGACCCAACAUCAGAGUACAGACAAGAAAACAAAUGCAGUUCUAUGGUCAGCUUCCCAAAGAUGUUUCAGUCAUUUACCAUAUAUACUCAAGUAUAAGCCAACCUAAAUAUAAGCCGAGGCACCUAAUUUUACCACAAAAAAACUGGGAAAAUAUUGACUCCAGUAUAAGCCGAGAUACCAAUAAAAUUACAUUAAUUGAGGCAUCAGUGGUUUAAAUGUUUUAUUUAUUUAUUUCUCACAUUUAUAUCCCGCCCUUAUCACCCGAAGGGACUCAGGGCGGCUUACAACAGUGGCAACAAUUAGAUGCCCAUACAAACCAAUAUAAAUAUAAAACCUUUUUGAACCUUUACAUCAAACUGUAAUUUAAGAUAGGAUUGUUCAACUCUGAUGAAAUCAUUAUUUUCAUCUUCUUCAAUGUAAAUGUGCUUAUGUAUCCUUUUAAUAAUCAUAGAGUGAAAUAAUAAAUGUAAUAAUAACAAUAAAUGCAGUAAAAUAAUAAAUGUAAUAAUAGAGUAAAAUAAUAAAUGUAUUAAUAAUAAUAAAAUAGAGUAAAAUAAAUGUAAAAGUAACAAUCAUAGAGUAAAAUAAUAAAUGUAAUAAUAAUAAUUAAUAGAGUAAAAUAAUAAAUGUAACAAUGCCAAUAAUAAUAGAGAAAAAUAAUAAAUAUACCAUAUAUACUUGAGUAUAAGCUGACCUGAAUAUAAGCCCACCAGAACCCUCACCCGAGUAUAAGCCGAGAAGGUUUUUUUUUUCAGUCCUAAAAAAGGGCUGAAAAACUAGACUUAUACUCGAGUAUAUACAGUAUCUAUUUUUCUUUAUUCGCUUUUUUGUGGAUUCCCUGCCCUAAUCUCAGCAAAUUUGGAGAGCUGUUUAAAGGGGGAGCCCUGAAGUCUAUUUAAAAGCAUGAUAUGUUAAUCCUCAGGGUUUCUAGGAGAGGCAAUGGGGAGACUGUAAAAGGUCUCAAAAACAGCCUUUGGGGAUUGGCCACAUGUGGCCCCACCAUGACACAUUUGGUACUAUUGACAUCCUCCAAGCAUAAGAGUUCUCAAGGCUGACUUAUCUACUUUGGCGGCCCCUCCCGCCCGGGACCCCACCUGCCUCCCUGUCCAUGGCCCACGUCUAAAGCUUCAGCCGAGGAGGUGUCAGAACAAUCACUUGAUAACAAGUCCUAUUUUUAGAGCGAGGAUACAGCCAGGGCCGUGACAAUGGGGGGAAGGGGGCUGGGUUUCCCCCCCAGUGGCCACUCGGCUGCAGAAAGGCCCAAAAGGUUUCCUCGAUGACUUGGAGGCAUACAAUGCAAGGAAAAUCGAGCCAAGAGAGACAGGGACGCUGGGAGCCAAAGAUUAUCUGCUCCUUUACCCAAUGCCGUGACCCUGGGAGAGUUGCCGGAAAGCUGCCGUCAGUGAAUGGGUGAGGCCCCUAUCGAUGCUGGAAAACAAGGUGAAACGUGGCCGGGGGACUCAGCUUUUCCACUGGGCCGCUCCAAGUCCUGCUGGGAUCGUGGGCUGCUCCCGUUUGGCCUGGCCCUAACCCUGUUUUGUUCCAUUAUCCCAAAGAUACCUUUGUUUGUGUCCCAAAAUGAAAAGUGCAGAAAGUACGCAAGGCGGGCCAGUGGGAAUAUGGCAGACCAACAUUCACCUAGCGUCCUUCUUUCCUGUCUCGUCUUUGAUUGAUCCCAAACAAGGACCCAUUGAAAAUCUGUAGAUUAAGGAGACAGUCUGCAAUCAGUGCAAUUACUAAAAGUCAACAUGGAUUUCUCAAAAACAAGUCAUGCCAGACUAAUGUUAUUUCUUUUUUCGAUAGAGUUACAAGCUUGGUAGAUGCAAGGAAUGCUGUGGAUGGAGCAUAUCUUGCUUUCAGAUAUGCUUUGACAAAGUCCCCCAUGACCUUGCAAGCAAACUAGUCAAAUGUGGUCUAGGCAGUGCUAAUAUUAGGUGGAUCUGUAGUUGUUUAAGCGACCGAACCCAAAGGGUGCUCACCAAUGGUUUUACUUCAUCCUGGAAAAAAGUGACUGGUGGAAUGCCGCAGGGUUCGGUCCUGGGCCCAGUUCUGUUCCAUAUCUUUAUUAAUGACUUGGAUUAAGAUUUAAAGGGCUAACUGAUCAAGUUUGCAGAUGACACCAAAUUAGGAGAGAGAGCUAAUACUCCAGAGGACAGGAUCAGAAUUCAAGCUGACCUUAACAGAUUAGGAAGCUGAUUGACCAAAACUAACAAAAUGAAUGUCAACAAGGACAAAUGUAAGAUACUACACUUAGGCAGAAAAAAUGAAAUGCAAAGAUACAGGAGGGUGACGCCUGGCUCGAAAACAGUCCAUGUGAGAAAGAUCUUGGAGUCUUUGAGGACAACAAGCUAAACAUGAGCCAAGAGUGUGAUGCAGCAACUAAAAAAGGCAGUGGGAUUUUGGGCUGCAUCCAAAGGAGUCUAGUGUCUAGAUUAAGGGAAGUCAAGUCUCUAUUCUGCUUUGGUUAGACCUCACCUGGAAUACUGUGUCCAAUUCUGGGCACCACAGUUCAAAAGAGAUUCUGACUCUAAGCUGGAAGACGUCCAGAGAAGGGCAACUAAAAUGAUCAAAGUCUGGAGACCAUGAAUCAGUGGAGCCAUGGGUUCAAAUGACAGGAAAGGAGAUUCCACCUGAACAUUGGGAAGAAUGUCUGUAAGAACUUUUCAGCAGUGGAACUCUCUGCCUCGGAAUUGUAAUACAAUACCAAUAAUUUUGUGCUUUAGCCAGCCAUGGUGUAAGUUGCAGUGCCAUUUAUUCUGAAUUGUAUCUGCCUAUCUGGAGACCAUUUAAUAAGACUUUUGAAUAGCAACACUCGGUCUAGAGACAUACUUACAAACCAAUGCCUAGCCAUUUCCUGAUUUGAAGUUGGUUUUCAAAUGCUUUUGAGUUUGACUUUCUACCAUUCACCUUAUUCUUGUUCCUCUCCUUCACUAUCUUCUUUCUCCUUCCCCCUUUUCUUCUGCUCCUCCUUCUUCUUAUCCCCCUUUUUCUUCUACUCUUCCGUCUUUCCUCCUCUCCUCCUAUAUCUCUUCUAUCUCCUUCUUCUUUCCUCCUUCUCUUCUUCUUCUUUGCUACCUCCUCCUCUUCCUCAACUUCUUCUUUUCCCCUUCUCUGUUUCCUUCUCUACUUCCUUCUCGAGCUCCCUCCCUCUUUCUUUACCGAUUAAACUCUCUGAACUGAGUCAUAGUGUAUGAUGCAUACAGAUAUCUACUUUCAGGUUGUUAUGUAACAUAUUCAAGGCAAAUUCUGCAUUGCUUGAAAAGAAAACACAGAUUUGCAUAAUAUUUCCAUGUGCUAAUUUAUUAGGUGAUAAUACAAAUUUAGAAAGAACUGAUACGUGUUAAAUAGAAUUCAUUCUCAUUCUGGGAAAGACUGUGAGCAAGAAACCAGCUUGCCUGCUAGUCCACCAACUGGCUGCCUGAGUGGCCAUCAUGGAAAACUCUCGUCUCCUCCCUUAGGCCCCUUCUUCUACACUGCUCCUAUAUCCCAGGAUCUGAUCCCAAAUUAUCUGCUAAUCCCAGAUUAUAUGACAGCGGAGACUCAUAUAAUCCAGUUCAAAGUAGAUACUCUGAGAUCCUGGGAUAUAGGGCAGUGUAGAUCCAGCCUUAGAGAGGAGCUUGGAGUUUCCAUGACACUACAGCAGUGAAACUGAGCCAAAUUUCAAUCUGCACUUUGAAGGAGCUAUCCAAGGUACUGAACCCAAUCUUCAAAAUAGACUCAGGACCAGGGAGAUCUCCUUUCUUAUAUGGUUGGCUUAGUAAUAUUUCAAUUCUUUUUAAAGGAAGAGAUAAUCCUAACUGAUUUAAAUACAGUUGACCCUCCACUUUUGUGGGUUUCCUACUCAUGGCUUGGAUUAUUCAUGUGUUUGAAACACUCCUCCUAAAGUCCAGGAGCUGAAUAACAAGGCUGUAAGUCUCUAAUCUGGUCAAUAUUUGCUUCCUGGGUGAAAAAAGACCCAUAACAUGUAGGUAAGAAGAGGAACCAGCCACACACCACUUCAUUUCCCCUUGAAUAUGGGCUCCAAUUCCUCUUCCUAUGUUCCAUGAAUCUCUGUUCUGUCCAGACAAAGGAAGAGGUGUUUUGAGGAUGGGCAGAUAGGAAUCCACGGCACACAAGAAAGAAGGGGUAUUAGAACUGCCAAGUAAGUGAUGUUGCAGACAUAUGUGAAGCUGGCUCCUCCUCCUCUUCCAAUUUACCAUGUAUCUCUGGUCUCUCAAUUCCUUCCUUCCUUUGCCCAGUAGAAACACAGACUCACCUCACAUAGGAACAGGAAAAGGAGGCAGAAUUCUCAAAGUAAGUGAAGUGGUGGAGAGGUUGGCUCUGCUUCCCUUCCAAGGACUAUAGCAGUGGUGACUCCUAUCCCAACAGAGAUAUGAUGAUGAUGAUCAUGAUGAUGAUGAUGAUGAUGAUGGUGGUGCAUUUUUUUAUAUUUACACACAGGAGCUAUACUCCCGAGUCCCACAGAAGUGGAGGGACUGUCGCACCUCAGGAGGAAAGGAAAUGGAUCUGUUGAAGUUACAGUUCUUAAAACUCCUCAGCGGCAUCCUUUGUUCAGGAAAACUUUCAGGAGACUUGGCACCACCGACGUUUUUCCUGAAAGUGGUAGGAAAGAGAGACAUUUCUUAGCUGCUUCUGCAAUAAUCCAGUAUACAUAGAUGUCAGCAAAUAGCACAAUUCAUGUGCUUUAGUGGAUUGAGCAUUGGGCAUGGUUUGAAUACUUGCUGGGUCAUGAACAUGCGCUGAGUGAUCAUGAGCAAGUCACACUCUCUCAGUUUCAGGGGAAGGCAAUGGCAACCUCUUCUGAACAAAUCUUGUCUAGAAAACCUUGUCACUGUUUCAAGUCAGAUACAGUUUGAAGACACUCAAAAAUAGCAGAAAGCAUGUUCCAAGAAACUCUAGGGCAGUGGUUCUCGACCUGUGGAUCCCCAGGUAUUUUGGCCUACAACUCCCAGAAAUCCCAGCCAGUUAGCCAGUUAUGAUUUCUGGGUGUUGAAGGCCAAAACAUCUGGGAACGCACAGGUUGAGAACCACUACUCUAGGGACAUUCAAGGUGGCCUAGAAAGAUUCCCCUAGGUAUGAAGGCUUUGAAGCUGCAAGGCUAUUCAAUGGUAUUCAAGUUGUGUAACAAUGGAAUCCCCUAGGUAUGAAGUAGCCAGGCUUUGAAGCUACAAGGCUAUUCAAUGGUAUUCAAGUUGGCCAACAAUGGAGUCCCCUAGGUAUGAAUCAGCCAGGGUUUGAAGCUGCAAGGCUAUUCAAUGGUAUUCAAGUUGUGUAACAAUGGAAUCCCCUAGGUAUGAAGUAGCCAGGCUUUGAAGCUACAAGGCUAUUCAAUGGUAUUCAAGUUGCCCAUAAAAUCCCACACUAUCUGGUUUGAACUGGUAAAAAACCUAAAGGCACCAGAUCUCAAUUCACCUUGGAAGCUAAGAAGGGCCAGCCAUGGUUGGUACUUGGAUGAGAGGCUACCAACAAAUGUUGGCUGCUAUAGGAUCUAUUUCAGAGAAAGAAAAAUCCUACAAUGGGUGUCAAGCUCAUUUUCGCCAAAGACGACAUCAGUCUUAUGGUUGACUUCAAGGGGUUGUUUGUAAUUGUAAAACUGUAUAAAUAUAACUAUGACCUUGCUCCUCCUGUUGGAUAGAAAUGCCUGAGCAUUUAAUCCAUGUGUAAAACAUAGUUCUGAUGGAUAUGUGACCGACACCUGGGAAGGACUGAGAGGGUAUGAUGAAAUACAAUGGAUUUAAGAAAUGGAUGAGUCAUGAUUAUGCGAGAUGUAUGACUAGAGUUUGCAUCAUUCAUUUGUUCCUUACUGAUGACAAGUCACCAAGUGGCUAUAAAAGGAGAGUGGAAUGCUGACUCUCUUCUUAAUUUGUGAUCUCUUCAUAUGCUCUCUUUGUGUGAUCUGUACCUGUGACUAUCUUGCUUUAUGUCACUGCUGAAUGAAUCUUAUUGUGUAAGUAACAAGCAUGAUUUGUGCGUAGAUAUAUCCUGAAUUGUACAGCUGUAAAUAGUGGAAGGUUAAAGCCUGUUGUUUUGGAUGAACUACAGAAUCUGUGAGUUUAUUAAACAGUGUGCAGGAAGAAGGUCAGAAGUAGCAACUGUACUCUGUUGAAAAGCUGAUUAUCUCUACUCUGCUGUGAAUGUACUCUGCUAUCUUUGCUUUCUACUGUGGCAUUUGUUUUCCCAGUAUACAGCGUUUCAGGGAGCUCAUAAUUUGAAAGCUAUAAGUCACGUACCAGCAUCCUAUGACAUUCCCUCCUCCCCAUGAAAUGCUACAGGUAGUGAAGGGACCAUAAGCCAGAUAAUAGUAAACUUUUGCCUAUGUAGCUUUGCCUCUACAUAUGCCCCUCCCUUCCCGUGAGCUGGUGCCUUUCUCUAAAGAGAGAAGAAAGCCCAGAGUAAACAAGUGAGGUCACAGGUAUCAUUUAUGCCAAGUAGGUGUGGAAGGUGAGGAAGACCCUCAGCCACUGGUCAAUUUUAGAUAAGCCAAAGGUAUAUAUUCUUUGUUUGCUAUGCACAUAUUGCGACGGCCAUUUGCAUGGUACGACACCCACUAGAGUGGGUGCCUAUGGCUGUUUGCCUUAUCAGCUGUGAUAACAAUAAAAGGCUUGUUUUAUUGCUCUCUUGGAAUUCUCUCAUUUACUUCCCCUCCGGGCUAGUCUCUAACAGUAGAACGGGAUAAGGUGCCUUUUGGGAACUAGCUGGAGAAUUCUGGGAAUGGCAGUCCAUAGAACAGUGGUUCUCAACCUGUGGAUCCCCAGAUGUUUUGACCUCCAACUCCCAGAAAUCCUAACAGCUGGUAAACUGGCUGGGAUUUCUGGGAGUUGUAGGCCAAAACACUUGGGGACCCAGAGGUUGAGAACCACUGCUAUAGAAGAACUUUAUCCAACCCUCAGAGGAGUGCCAUUGUAUUCUCUACAAAACCACUACAAAAUUCAUGAAGUCAACUUUGAGACCCACAAACACACGAGAUAUGAUCUCAGUCUCUUCCCAAAUGCUGCUGAGUAGAACUUCUAGGGAAAGCUGUUAGGAAUUGUGGGAGUUGAAGUCCAAAACACCCGGAGAGCCGAAGUUUGCCCACGCCUGUUCUAGUUUUGCCCACGCCUGUCCAACACUAACCCUGCAGUUACUCAUAAGGUGGCCCUUUUUGCCCUGGUAGCACAGAAAAUCCGGGCAAAACUCCGACAUCGCAGUUGACUGUGCUGGGUAGUGGUUUUUUAUAUCCCUGCUUAAGUUUUAAUAAUGCUGUACUUACUUGGUUUUAUCUUGUUUUUAAUUAUGUUGGUGCUAAUCCAUGAAAUAUGUAGUAUUUGAAGGGCAUAUCCUGACAUUGAUAUUUGCAGCAUUUUAAUGUUUUAAUCUUCUAUAUAUAUAAAAGAGUGAUGGCAUCAGGGCAGCGGACAAAACAACAAAACUACAGGCCCCCCAACCUCGAAAUUUGACAACACAACCCAUCAUUCAUGGCUCUAGGUUGAUACAACAAAAAGAAAAGAAAAAUAAAGUCCUAAUUACAGGGAGAGGAAUAAUAGUUUUUAUCCAAUUGCUGCCAGUUUGAAGGCUAAGCUCUACCCACUUGGUCUCCUAGCAACCUACUCAGCCCAGGGGACAGGCACAGUUAGGCCUCACUUAGGCCUCUUCCACAGAUUAUCAGAUUUUAACUGGAUUAUAUGGCAGUGUGGACUCAAGGCCCUUCCACACAGCUAUAUAACCCAUUUAGAAUCUUAUAUUAUCUGCUUUGAACUGGAUUAUCUUGACUCCACACUGCCAUAUAAUCCACUUCAGUGUGCAUACUAAACAUAAAGACAACCAUACAACAGACAUUCAAUACCACCACUACCUUUACAAUUUCUCACCAACACCACCAGACAACGCCACAGCAACACGUGGCCGGGCACAGCUAGUGAUUUAUAUUGGGGUUUAAUGGCAUGUUUUCUAUUGUAUUUGAUGGUCUGGCUUUUGUGUAUUUGUUUGUUUGUCUUGCAUGCAAAAGACCUAUGGUCUAAGCAUUAAAUAAAUUUGGAAUUUGGAUUAA